rnacentral:rRNA from 1 species
AAGUCGAGCGAACGGACGAGAAGCUUGCUUCUCUGAUGUUAGCGGCGGACGGGUGAGUAACACGUGGAUAACCUACCUAUAAGACUGGGAUAACUUCGGGAAACCGGAGCUAAUACCGGAUAAUAUUUUGAACCGCAUGGUUCAAAAGUAAAAGACGGUCUUGCUGUCACUUAUAGAUGGAUCCGCGCCGCAUUAGCUAGUUGGUAAGGUAACGGCUUACCAAGGCAACGAUGCAUAGCCGACCUGAGAGGGUGAUCGGCCACACUGGAACUGAGACACGGUCCAGACUCCUACGGGAGGCAGCAGUUGGGAAUCUUCCGCAAUGGGCGAAAGCCUGACGGAGCAACGCCGCGUGAGUGAUGAAGGUCUUCGGAUCGUAAAACUCUGUUAUUAGGGAAGAACAUAUGUGUAAGUAACUGUGCACAUCUUGACGGUACCUAAUCAGAAAGCCACGGCUAACUACGUGCCAGCAGCCGCGGUAAUACGUAGGUGGCAAGCGUUAUCCGGAAUUAUUGGGCGUAAAGCGCGCGUAGGCGGUUUUUCAAGUCUGAUGUGAAAGCCCACGGCUCAACCGUGGAGGGUCAUUGGAAACUGGAAAACUUGGGUGCAGAAGAGGAAAGUGGAAUUCCAUGUGUAGCGGUGAAAUGCGCAGAGAUAUGGAGGAACACCAGUGGCGAAGGCGACUUUCUGGUCUGUAACUGACGCUGAUGUGCGAAAGCGUGGGGAUCAAACAGGAUUAGAU